UGGGUUUCCUUUGCUUUUGCUAUCUCUUUCUGUGUCUGCACCUUGCUCUUUGUCUCCAUACAAAGUCUUUAGAGUUAGGUGAUUUUUUUGAUUGUUUGCUCAUUUUUCCUAUCUAAUUAUAGGUAGGCUCUGUUUUCUGGAAAGUUGGAUACCCUCUUAAACUUCAGUUCUUUUGUUAAUGUUAUUUUUGGCUUAUUUUCCAGGUUGGUCUGAGGUCUGAGGGCUUAGAGCUCUGAGAGUCCCCUCCCCAUGAUGAUUCAAUUGACCCUUGAGAUGCUGAUAGCUUAAAUACUUUCUUCAGACUGGGGUGUAAGAUUUUCAUCUUAGUCUGAACUUGAUUAGGUCAGGUGCUGAUCAGAUUCUAGCCCCAGGCUUAGUCUCAUGGUUUUGGUCUCAAGGUGUCCUUGAUUCAAUCAGGCACCCCCUUGAUUGCCCUGUACUGGAGCUCCACUCUUAGUUUUAGGCAAAAAGUUCCCAGGGAUAACUGUGGAUUAUGUCCUCACCCUGAAACUAGAUUUGGAUUUCUGGCUUCACUCUGGGUCCAAGUGGAUUGUCCCCCUUUAGCCCAGAUUGUCUUGAGCUGGGACUCUGGACUUCUCCACAGAUUCAUAGAUAUUUGUAUUUCCCAGACCUCAUCAAGAAGAGAAGAAAGAGGAAAUUUUGGAGAUCUACAUUCUCUGCAACAAAUAGAGAAAACACACCCAGAGGUUUUCCUUCUGGAGGCUGCUGGAGUUUAGGAGAGGAGUGAUCUCUUCCCAAUAGGCAAAUCUGAUGGACGUAACAGAAAAUACACAGUAUUUCUUGAGAAGCCUGUGGUCCAAUUCUUGAUGCCAUGGAUUCUGUGGGAAGGUUCUUGAGGAUGUGUGCUCAAUGAUGGGACUCGAAGAUUGGAGGCUUUUAGAAUAUUGCACUGCGUAUUGGCAUAGUAUGGGUAAAAACCUUUUGGUAUAUUAAAUAGGCACAGUGGUUGACAAAGGAAGGGUGUGUAUCCUAAUUAAGAAGAAGCACAAAUCCUUGGAUAUUAAGAUAUUAGGAAAAACUGCUCCAUUCUAAUCAUUGCUCUGUAUACUGUCUAAUCUAUUCUUAUCACUACUUGCUCAUGAAUUCUAUGGCCAUAGCAAUACAUGAAGUAAAGGCA
rnacentral:lncRNA from 1 species